GUGUUCUUGGACUUUCAGAAAGCCUUUGACAAGGUUCCUCUCCAAAGGCUGUUAAGCAAAGGCACCAGAACUACUACAGACAUCUUCUGUGCCUAAUCCUGCGGGGGCAGCUCCUACACUCCAGCAGGCUUUGCAGGCAGCCACACUAGCGUAGUGGACUGACACAAGUGUAAAACCUGCUGGGGGCACAGAAGUAGCCCAGAUCCCAGCCUGUCAGCAGGAUGAAGUUGGAGGCUCUGCAUCCUGGGGAUUCUUCCUCUGGCUUGAGGACUGGACUCAGCUACCUUUGGAGUCCAUCACCGCUACCCCAAGAACCAGCCAGAAGGAGGUGCUGCUGAGUGACUGAGUUCCCUGGACAGCAGUGACGCACACUGGAGCUGGCAUGCAGAUUUCUUCUUUACUUUACUUUUUAUUUAUUGAGAUGGUCUGGCUGCAGAUUGAGGUCCUUGCCUCUUUCUUAUAGCUGGAACACUAAUGGUUUAAAUCAAGGUUGAGUAAGCUUUUCUAUUAUAAACUCCCUUUUUAGUUACUCAUAAUUCUUUGACUUUUGGGGGUGAAAUUCUUCAGCAGAGGGGAGGCAGGGGGAUCAGGGAGUCAGAUUCUCUGUUCUGCUCCAGUGCCAAGCCUAGCAUAAAUCAGAGGACACUGGUGGCUGUUCUAACCUGUGCCAGCUAGCAAAGAAUCACCCCCCGCUUGGAGAUGGCCAGACCACGGUGUAGGCUGGCCAUGUCAUUCCUGUCCCAACAGCCCCAUGCAUCUGCUGAGGCAAUGGUUUCCUCUCCCUUUGUGCCACCUAAAUUGAUACAAAGGGAGCAGAGUGGGGCAAUGAGCUUGCAUUCAUAGCUUCGUUUAAAAAAAAUAACGUCAGCUAUUUUAUUUAUUUAUUGACUGGGCAGAAAUUUUAAAACAAGGUUGAAUGAUUUUUAAUGAUGAUUUCCUAAUGUCCUGAAGGCAAAGAGUCUGCGCUGCAUGUUCAUGUCUGUGGGAUUGUGGGUGAUGCUGAGAAACAUGAGCCAUGCCUCAGUCAGCAUGAAGAUCUGCAUGUGCCCUGUCUCUUUCUGUACAAUACUCUAAAGUUUAGGCAGACUCUGUGUCAUUUUUGAGCUAUCUCACUACAUUGUCUAGGCAAAUAAUGAAGGUUACGUUAGGGCGAUUCCAUGCAGCGUAAAGCCCCCAAAUGUCAGGAAAGGUCAGGGAAGUUUUUAACAUGAACUCUGCCCCAUUGUGCAUGUUCAUUAUGAUGCAAUCGAUAAUUACCUAGAUUCAUAGAUACUAAGGUCAGAAGGGACUAGUAUGAUCAUCUAGUCUGACCUCCUGCACAAUGCAGGCCACAGAAUUUCAGCCACCCACUCCUGCGAAAAACAUGAUCAUAUACAGGAUGCUGGGUUCGGGGGUGCUGCAAUCCAUGCCUCAUUCUAGCCUAAAUACUUUUACAAUGAUAACUAUGUAAAUUAAUUGAGAUCAAUGUACUCAUUGGGGCCCAAAUUGUGGGCAGUUAUCCGCCGGCCUACAUGGGGGGUGGUAUGGAGUUGCUCUCCUUUAUGUUGAGCCAAGAUGAGGGAGCAUUCCUCAAGAGAGACCAUCCCUCUCUUCGCAGUCAGAUGUUGUAGGGAGAGGGGGAGGACUGCACAGGUUACAACAUCCUAGAGGCCUGGCCAACACCGUGGGCUGGGGCAGAGCGUGUAUGUGUAUUCGAGGGAGACUCCACCUCCUCCCUGUCCUGUUUGGGGGAUAUGCACCCACACAGCUGCAUUGAUGGAGCAAUCUUGUGCGCUCCUCCAAGUGAGUGACCCUUGCACGUGGCCAGUCACAGUCAGGUCCUCUGAAUUAACACUGAGGUAACUGAGAGGAGAAUUUGCCCUUCAGUGCACAGGCAGAGCAUGUAUAGCAAGAAUGACUUUGUGAUGAUGAAAUACGUAUUUGUACUUCGUUGUGACAUGGACACCGUAAGAUUUAUGAUGCCCUUAACAGCUCAUUGACUGGCUUUUUAGUGCCUGAGUUCGGUAAACAACGUGACAUGUAACUUACAUGUCGUCAUUCAGUAACAGUCACUCUUUUUUCAAAUGAAAUGUCUAGAAUUUAUCAUCAUUUUGCCAGCCUUGAAAUGGGAGCAGCAGGUGCUGUGAUAAAUGAAAGAAAAGGGUUGUCUUGUUUUACUGGCCUUUCUGUCCGAGCCUCUGUCCCAUCCGAUGAAAGGCUCUAGGGUAACUUCCUAUGUUGUUCAGAUUCCCUGAAAGCAGCAGAUAUUCACACCAUCUCAUAAACUAACAAGGCACGAGGGACAUGGGGGUGUGUAUGGUGAGGUGGGGGAUCUAUUUUUUCCUAUAUCACCAAUAGUGGAAGAACAUCACUCACACAGCUGUUUCCAUGUGGCUAUCAAUAGAUCUUGGAGUUAAUAUCCAAACCUAAAGGAUCAUGAGACAUCACAGCAACAAGAAACCACUGAGUUUGCUACCACGUUACCCUCAGGGGUGAAGAAGAUAUUAACAGCAAUUGUCCGGGGCCUGGUAAGGGAACACUGGGUAGCCUUACUGAUUUGACUCUGUGUAUUCUUUAAAGACACCUAGCCAAAUUUGUCCCCAAUGUAACUCCAUUGAAAUCAACCCAAUUAGAGCAGGGAUUUAACAUGGUGCACCCUAUUCCUUACAGAAGAGACAAGGUAAACACAUUGCUUUCUGAAAGCAUUUGAAAAGGUUCCCAGUAAAAGAUUAUUGACUAAGCUAAAGAGGCCAUAACACAGGAGGUAAGAGGCAAGAUCUGAAAAUUAGGGUGGGUGAAUUGUAAUUUCCCUAGCUGGAAAAAGGUCUCUUGAAGGAAGAGUUCCCAGUAGCUCACCUGAUCGAUCUGUCUAGAUACCCCCAUCACUGCAGUAUUUGAGCCCCUUCCCGAGAAGGUUUUUUUCUGUUUAUUACAUCUGUCAACAAUGUGGCUCAAAAUAUCAAAGUUUACUGAUGAUACCAAAUAGGGAGAGCAAGAAGAGGAACGGUGCCCAGGAGUUUGGAGAGAUUUACAUCUUGAUGCUCGGAGCCAUCAGGGGUGCUGGCACAAUUUGUAUCGUGGGGGUGCUGAGAGCCAUUGAACCAAACUGUAAACCCUGUUUAUGACGGAAACCACUUCAAGCCAGAAGGUGCUGCUGCACCCCUAGCUCCAGUACCUAUGGAAGCCAGUGAAUGGAAAAUGCAUUUUAAUGUGGAUAAAGCCUGGUGACAAUGAUCCAAAAUAGGCAGCAUAUGUGAAAUGAAAAAUCUCAUACUGUGCUGCCCAGAGGAGAGGUAGGGAGCUCCUUUUACCACUCGCCCAGAGUAUGGCCACAGCAGAAAAGACUGGACUCUGGGGGAGAGUGCAGAUCCCAAGGAGUGAUCCUAUGGGUAGACACCAUCUCAGUCAAAUAGCAGUGACCACAUGGAACAAGUUGCCACAUAAGGCCAUUGAAGCAAAUAUGUAAAUUAGUUCAGUAGACAGCCAGACAUUUUAUUUGUGGGGGUGGGGUGUGGGGAGGAAGGGACAACAAUAUAUAUAGGGAAAGACCCAGAGGUGUGGAUGAGAGAAACCUAAAGGGACAGUCAGUCUUGUUGGGACACAGCUUCUUGUGUCCUGUAUUCCCUCUUGUGAUGUCUGAACCUUAAGACCCCCCCCACCCCCCGCAAAAGAAAGAGGGUACCAAGGUGUCAUGCCCCCUCUUUGUUUUUAAUUACUUCCCAAUUUAAUCUUGAUUUGCAUGUCCAUCUCUUAGAUCUGGGCCAGGGACUCUACAAAGCCCUCGUCAGCAACUCCCCCAAUAAUAAACAGGAAAAGGCUUAAGGAGCAAAUCACUUGCAUGUUAAUGAGACUGUUUGCUGGAGUCAAGAGAGAAAACAGCAAACAAACAAAUGGACUGAAUUCCAGCGGCAGCUGUUUGCUCCUUAAUCUCGGCUCGUCAGAGCUGCCCUUUGGUGGGACACAAUCUACACAAACGAUUGUGCUAAAUCUUCUAAUCUACGUCCUCAUUAUUACAUCCCUUCUUACGCAUGUAAAUCAGGGACAAACUCAUUUUAAUAUGUAGAUAGAUUAUUGAAGGGAAGGGGAGGGGAUAGGAGGGGAAAGGGGAGCUGCUAAUGGUGUCUGUGUGCAUGUGUGCUAGGGGGGCAGUAAUGAAGAGACUGGGAAGGGGGGCUGUCUGUGGACAGACACCAAAGGAAACGAGGAGGGUCUGUUGUUGGACUACAAAGGAGAAUAUAAGGGAGCAAAGCCUUAGAGAGUGGAGGGCAUUGAUAGUGGGGACUUUUAAGAUGGAGAACAGUCAGCAGUGUGAGGAUACAAUUCUACUCAGUGAGACUUCAUUGGCCUUACAAGCUGUACAAGUGCUGCCGGAAUGGAAGUAGAGCCAGACCCCUCAGGUCUCUGUCAGAGGCAAGGACAGGUCCACCCACACUAGGGCUCCACACUAACCCUUCUCCUGAUUGUUUGGGGUACAGCAUCUGGGCCAAAGUCUUCUGCCAGCCAAGAGUGCCACAGAAAAGCAAAGGGGGAGAGUGCAUGAUGUGCAGGCGUUAAUGGAGGAUAACGUAUGAACAUGCAGAAUUAGGGAGCUGUUCAUGUGACAUCCCUGCUUAUUGCCCAGCUCUAACCACCUGAAGCAAUCCCAUUUGGAGCCUGAGGCAUGGAUGUUAAUGACCCAAUUUAAAUUGUGUUAAGUUUCUGCAUAUACCUGGUGAUAGGCAUCUUACACGCUUAUCUAUUCAUUCAUAUUUAUUAACGGCUCCCGUCUUGUUAGACAAUUAAAAACCAACUUAUUUUCACACUACAAAGCCAAAUAAGGGCAAUAUAGAGGAAUACAGCAAUGUAACUAGUCCAGUCAGAGAACAGAGGCUCAACUUGCUUUUCCAAAGUAUAUAAGUAUAAUUAUAGUAAUCAACUGUCAUCACCAUUUUGAGUAACAUUUAAACAGGGGCUUAAACAGGAGCAUUACCAUGGCCCAUAAGAAAAAUCCAGACCUCCCAUAUCUUCCCAGCCCAGACAUCAUCUCCCAGCUUGGCUCUUCCCCCAGCCUGCAAUCCACCCCCUACCCAAUUAACCCUCUCCUUGUGCAAGAAUAUCCUGGGAGAACAGCUGAGUCUUGCAGCAUCCACCUUCUCUAGCCCAGCCAGCUAGCUCUCCUCCAUAUCCCAAUCUCCAUUAGACACUAGGUGAGCAUCCCCACCCUCUGGGUCAUAAGACAUGGAAAUAUAGAGAAAAGAGGAUGCCAUCAACAUACUGAACACACUGCAACCCAUAUUUCCUCACUAGUCCCUCAAAUAUACGUAUUUGCUGAACAAGAGGAGUGCUGAGAUGGAGCCUUGUGGAACCCCACAUGAGAAUGCCCGUGAGACAAACGAGUAAUUGCCCCAUGCCAUUCUUUGGGAAUUAUCUCAAAGGAAGAAGCAGAGACACUCAAGAGUAACCCCAUCCACCUUGCUACGGUCUGCAGAUGCAUCACCACCAUCUUGUGAUUAAUGCUACAGAAUGCAACUGAUAGAUCUAAAAGACUAAGUCUGGAUACCUGCUUUUCCUUCAUGGCCAGGAGGAGAUCAUCAGCGAGCACUAUCCUUACCAUUUCCUUACAAUAUGCAAGUCUAAACCAAACUGACUGUCAUCCAAAAAACCUGAAGAAUCAAGCUGUUGAGGGAGUUGAUUUGCCAUCAUCUUCCUGGGAGGCUGGAGAUGUAGCAAUAGUUGGAAAGAGCUCCCAUGUCAAGCAUGGAUUACUGAGCAAGGAUCUGGCAAUUAACUGUGUGCAAUUACAAUUAAUAAUACAGUGGGCUACACAUUGAUACCUGAAGGAAAGAUGAGGGAGAGAAAUAUUAGGAAUAACUCCUGGUAGGAAACCAUCCCACCCUCUGAAUGCAGACCUGCUGGCAGACUCCAAAAAGACAGACAUUCCAUGUACUCUAAUGAGCUAGGACUGACUGAGUCACCCCAUGCACCCGAUGAAGUGAGCUGUAGCUCAUGAAAGUUUAUGCUCAAAUAAAUUUGUUAGUCUCUAAGAUGCCACAAGUACUCCUUUUCUUUUUGUGGAAUAAAGUUAUUAGUUAAAGGCUGGGCUUCAUGUCUGUGUGGUACAGGUGCCACUUCUGUGAGCUCAGAUCUGAUGGAAAUGAGCACAAGAUAAAUGCUUUCCUAGACAGAUGACAGCUCUUUGUAGGCUCUUUCUGCUAUCUGACAGGGUGUUUGUCACAGUUAUAUGUCUAACUAAAUGUCUAAUUUUAGUGUUUGACUAGCAAAUACCUGGAAAUGGUAUUUGGCCAAAUAUAAGCAGGUGGAAUACUAAUCAACUAUCAUAUCUUGCAUAUUGAACAUAAGAACAUAAGAAUGGCCAUACUGGGUCAGACCAAAGGUCCAUCCAGCCCAGCAUCCUGUCCACCGACAGUGGCCAA